rnacentral:tRNA from 53 species
CCUUCGAUAGCUCAGUUGGUAGAGCGGAGGACUGUAGAUCCUUAGGUCGCUGGUUCGAUUCCGGCUCGAAGGA